UUCACUGAGUUAAUCACAAAAAUUAAAAACUAAGUUCUCCAGUAUUUAUUUGGCAGCUGGUAUAUGCCUAUUUAUAAACCAGGCACCUUUCUUGGAUCUCAUUUAAUUCGUAUAGGAAUCCUGAAACGAUGGUAUUGAUAACUCCAUUUCUGUAGAAGGAAGUCAAGUAACUUAUCCUGAGUGAGGCAAAGUUGUCUGUUUCUCAAGUUUCAAAGGGAAAAAUAUUUUCUCCAGACUGGAAGUCUCAAAGAUUUAGGUCUUAUAUUGGAAAAUGAAGAAAGAAUUAAAUAGGUAAGAGAAGUGGAAAAAUAUUAGGGGUCAGCAUAUGGAAGGGAUAUUGAAGGCCAUGCAUAUAAACCCGGCUGGAAAAAAAAGCAUACAUUUAAAAGAAGAUGGAAAAUAUUUUGGAAAGGGGAGUUAGGUCUGAAUUAAAAUGAGUCUAUAUGCUUUUAAACACCUCCUUCCUAUUUAUAUCUGUCUAGUUUUUCAAUUUCAUUGAGAGGAAGGUGGGUUAGUUUCAUAUUCUCUAUUUUAUAGUUUUUUCGUUGAUGAAAGACCAAAGAUAAAAAGAAGAGAAUUUUAGUUUCAUAUCCUCAAUCUUGUAGUGAUUUUGUUUUUAUAAAAAGAUGCCCAAGCUACACUAUUUGGAUCUAGUUCAUAAUCUGUGCCUAAUAUACUCUACACCUCAGACAUGUAUGCAUAUAAAGCCAAUUCCAAGCAACUUAAAAGUAACACAGGAAAUUCAGGUUAACAUUUGUUACAGUUUCCACUGGAAACAGCCUCUUGUAUUUAACUGGUGAUGAAAUGAAAAUGCUAUACCUUAUUUUCUCCUGCUCGGUGUAAUGCCUUCUUCUUCUAUCCUAGCCAAAAUCUCACAAACUUGGACAUUGCAAAAAAUACUCUCUCCCUGGCCUUUAUUGUGAGAUGCUGAGGACUGUUUUCUGUAAAGGACUAAAAAAUAUGCAUUUAAGGGAUGAUGAAUGUUGCUCAGUGGUAAAUCUUUGUGUAAAAAUGUGUUAAAUUUUAGUCAUUUUCUGUGGGAUUGUAGCAUCAGCAACUGGCAUGAGAUGAAUCAGACUGAUGAUUCCAGUUCUUUGCAAAGCAGACAGCAUGAUAUAAUGGCACUGAAAAAAAAUCUCCCUUGGCAACUUUUGUAGCCAUGAAGUGCAAAAGAGGUGUUAGAUAUUACUAUACUUGGAAAGAGCAGGAGUCCUCAUUUCAACUAUCGAAAUGAUUUGAAGCCAUCUUUUACCAUCUCCUUUAAUGUCCAUAACGUGGAUAUCAUCAGGAUUUGAUCUCUUGAGCAGGAGAGCCUUACCUUAGUUUUUCUCUGGGGUCCUGGAGCCCCUUAGAAAUCUAAGAACCCUUUCUAUCAAGGGGCUGUUUGGACAAUACCUAUCCAGAUAAAUUUCUUUUCUUUGUGCACAUCCUGGCCAAGUAUCAUUUCAAGAAUUGAAUGUUUAGUUUUUUUGCAACUGCCAUAAUCUUGCUUGGAAGGUCACCUUCUGUGAGAGCUGAAUAGAUGCGGUUCUUUCAGGAAAGAAUUUAAGAUGGGUUGUACAUUCAUUAUUUAAAAAGAAACACACAUGUUACAGAAAUCACAUAAAGAAAUUUUCUUCAAGCAAGAAGUUGUAAAUGCUGUCAGGAUAUGUUGAUGUAGGAGUUGCAGGGAUUAACUGACCCCCAGGAAUUUUCAGGCUAUUCAUUGAGCCUACCAUGGAUGACCAUGGCUACUCAGGGUGAUGAAUACUAGCAAUAGAAGUAUGUUCUAAGUUCUGUUGGAGCAUGGAGCAGAAAGAGACUAAUUCCAACCAACUCGGUGUAAUUAUCUCUUGCCUGAUUAUAUGAAGCUAUUGACUAUUAUAGAAGUGGGAAAUCUGUUUUUAGCCACAGUUUGCCUAUAGCAGCCAAGUAUACUUUCUCCAAUCCUAACCAGGCUAAAUCCUAGGAAACAAAUUAUAGAAACUGUGUGUCUUAGAUUCCAGGAAAAUAGCACCAACAUCAGGUCACUACCUGAUGCCGCUGGCCUGUUUCUAGGUGACAGAAGCACCUAUUUGCCAGUUAUGAAGAGUGUAGAGUGCUCUGCAGCUGCUAUUCCUUCUUGCCUCUUAUUGUUGCCAUUCUGUCUUCCACAAAGCCUUCUUUCUCUAUUGUUCAUAUUUUUAUAACUAUGGAACAUAUAACUUCAAAAGAUUUCUCCUUAUGUUCCUCAUUCAUACUCUCUUAUAAAGCAAGCCACAUACUGUGGCCCUUUUAAUAUUAUUCAACAACUUGCAGCUUAUUACUGACAGGUGCUGUAUAAACACAGUCUUUGUGAGAUAUUGGUAUUUUAGAUUUAGAGAAACGUUUCACCUCAAUUAUUGAUAAAUAUUCUUUCAUAUCUAAAGGGUGCUUUUCAAAGUAAAGUGCUUUGUCCAUUUAUUGUAAUAAAUACUUCAAAGGGUCAGUUCUUGCAAAAAACCAAAAGGUGCUAAAUGUAAUUUGUCCUUCUCUUUUUUCGACAUUCCGUGGAUUGGGUUAGUCUAAUUGCUACUACAGAUGCCAAACAUCAGUUAAGAUCAUGCAAGUUCAAUUCUUACUCCUGUAAGAGUUCAGCACAAGUGUUUUGGGAAGAGGCUUCUCCUAUCCUUGAUUCAGGGUCUCAAUUUCCUUCCAUUUUCUUGUGCUACUAUGCUCUCAUAGCCUCUGCUGAAUCCUUUGCCUCCAUCUAUCAAAGGGGUGAAGUGAGAGUGGACACUCCAAUGGGAGGAUGUUUAUUGACCAAGCCUGCAAGCUGGUCUAUCACUUCCAUCCACAUUCAGUUGGUUAGAACUCAGAUUCAUAUCCUCACCUACUUAAGAGGGAGGCUGGGAAAACUUGUGUAGUUGUAUUCCUAGGAAUAAAGUAAAACAGAAAAAAAUAUAUCGCCUCAACAAAGCCACUCUGCCUAGAUUUGUGAACUGUUUAUAUUCCUGGUAGUGAAUAAUUUUCAUAAAAUUUUGCUUUCAUAUCUCAGUAGUUUUACUUUGCCUCCUAAGUAAAAUUAUUUUAUUUAUUUGUUUAUUUAUUUUGAUUUUUUAGGGCCGCACCUGGGGCAUAUGGAGGUUCCCAGACUAGGGGUCUAAUUGGACCUGUAGCUGCUGGCCUAUGCCACAGCCACAGUAAUGCAGGAUCCGAGCCAUGUUUGGGGCCUACACCACAGCUCAAGGCAGGACCAGAUCCUUAACCCACUGAGUGAGGCCAGGGAUUGAACCCACAACCUCAUGGUUCCUAGUCGGAUUUGUUUCCACUGUGCCAUGACAUGACAGGAACUCCUUAAGCCUCACUGUUUUUUUUUUUUUUUCCAAU
rnacentral:lncRNA from 1 species